AUGAAGAGGCCGCGCGCGAGGCUGCUCGUCGGAGGAGCUCCGGCGGCGGCGAGGCCAACACCACCCGGGCUAGGGUUUGUGGCGGCGGCGGCGGCGGGGGCGGGGGUCACGGCUAUAGGACGGGGUGAGCGGGGUGCCGGUUUCCUGAGCAUCGACUGCGGCCUGGAUGCCAAAUUCAGCGGGCGCAGAAAAACCGACACAGACAUCGCCUACGUCUCCGACGAUCCGUACGUCGACGGCGGAAAGAACCACAGGGUAGCCGCCAAGUUCGAUGUCAGUUCUAGACCCGAGAACCGCCGCACGCUCAGGAGCUUCCCGUCCGGCAUACGGAACUGUUACACCCUCCCAACCGAGAGCGGUGGUAAGUACCUGGUCCGGAUGGUGUUCUUCUACGGGGAUUACGACGGGAAGACCAGUCCAUCGUUCGAGGUACACUUGGGCAGCAACUACUGGGACACGUUCCAGAACAACAACUUCUGGUGGUUCGAAGCAGUCUUCGUCGCGUGGGGGAGCUGGGUGCCGGUGUGCCUGGUGAACACCGGCGGUGGCACGCCGUUUGUGAGCACGGUGGAGCUGAGGCCGCUCCCACCCUCGCUCUAUCCCCAGGUCAUCGUCGACGAGUCGAUAUCUGCCCUUGCAAGGGGAAAUCUGGGGGCAAACACUAGUUACCGGUUUCCCGACGAUCCAUAUGACCGCUUCUGGGAAUGGGAAGUCAGCUCGUCGUGGGCAAACCUUUCCACCAAAGAGACCAUCCAGCGGGAAGACAGCUUGCCCAUCCCUGUUCUUCAAACAGCCGUCGCUCCUGUCAACAAUGGCACGGUGCUACACGUCACGGGGACGUACAAAAGGACAUUCGAGUAUAAAUUCUUCCUACACUUCUCCGACGUCCAAAACACCCAGCUCCGACAGUUCGACAUCUACAUGAACGACUAUGAGCCGUACAAGAACUACAGCCCCCCGUACCUUACCGCUGGUAAAAUGUAUACUACUGGCUGGUACAAGGCUACAGAAGGCACGUACAAUAUCACUCUUGCAGCCACCAAUAGGUCCAUGCUGCCCCCAAUGGUCAGUGCAUACGAGGUCGUCAACCGCAUCCCCCACGACGCUCCGAGGACGUCCACUAAAGACUUCAACGCAAUGAUGGCUAUCAAACUCGAGUACGGAGUAAAGAAAAACUGGAUGGGUGAUCCAUGUUUUCCUGCCAAAUAUCGAUGGGAUGGCGUGAACUGUAGCGACAUAACUGCUAACACUACGCGGAUAAUAUCUCUGGAUCUGUCAGACAGUAACUUGACUGGAGCCAUAUCUGAUAACUUCACACUGCUCACAGAACUCCUAUAUCUGGAUUUAUCUGGCAACAGUCUGAAUGGACCAGUUCCAAAGUCCCUCUGUAAAAGGAGUGCAGGAUCAAAAAAAAAAAAAGGAGUGCAGGAUCACUCAUUUUCAGUUUCUACACAUGAUCCUCCCAGAGAACCAGAACUUCAAGGUGCUCCUGAAAGUAGAAAAAGUAAUGCGGAUCAGCUGCAAAAUACUGAGAACCGCCGAUUCACAUACAAGCAGCUAGAGAAGUUUACCGAUAAAUUCCAACGGUGCAUUGGCAAAGGAGGUUUUGGACUCGUGUACUACGGCCGUUUAGAAGACAAUGCUGAGGUUGCUGUCAAGAUGCAUUCUGAAUCAUCAUCACAUGGGCUUGAUGAGUUUUUAGCCGAGGUCAAUAGCUUGACAAAGGUGCAUCACAGGAAUCUAGUUUCUUUGGUUGGUUACUGCUGGGAGAAGGACCAUUUAGCACUGGUUUAUGAGUACAUGUCCCGGGGCAAUCUUUGUGAUCAUCUGAGAGGGAAAAAUGAUGGUGGUGAAACCUUGGGUUGGGCGACACGUGUACGAAUCGUGCUCGAAGCUGCACAAGGCCUGGACUAUCUGCACAAGGGAUGUAGCUUGCCAAUAAUUCACCGGGAUGUGAAAACCAACAACAUUCUCCUAGGUCAUAAUCUAAAGGCGAAACUAGCUGAUUUUGGACUUUGCAAGACCUAUCUUAGCGACAUGCAGACCCACAUAUCAACCAAUGCGGCUGGGACAGCAGGAUACAUGGACCCUGAGUACUAUCACACUGGCUGGCUCACUGAGAGCAGCGAUGUGUAUAGCUUCGGUGUUGUUCUACUCGAGGUAGCCACUGGUGAGCCUCCGGUAUUGGCAGGCCAUGGCCACAUCGUUCAGCGUGUGAAACAGAAGAUUGCCACUGGCAACGUCACCACUGUGGCUGAUGCCCAUCUUGGAGAUGAAUAUGAUGUCAACUCCAUGUGGAAACUGAUCGACACCGCCUUGGCGUGCACAGCAGAUGAUGCGGUCCGAAGGCCAACAAUGGCCGUCAUUGUGGCGCAGCUAAAAGAGAGCCUUGCUUUGGAGGAAGGUCGUGAGGACAGUAGCGUCCGCGGAAGCAUCACGAGUACCACUGCUGCCCCGAUGUCCAUGUUUGGUCCAUCGGCAAGAUGA
rnacentral:rRNA from 1 species